rnacentral:tRNA from 1 species
CUCAGUUGGUUAGAUAAUAUUCAAGCGUCAGCCUAACAUGCUGAAGGUCAUGAGUUCGAGAAACUAAAAACCUCA